rnacentral:pre_miRNA from 1 species
UUGCAGACUUGAAGACUUCAACUUGCAGACUUGAAGAAUUUGAAGACUUCAACUUGCAGAAUUAAAAAAUUUGAAGACCUCAACU